rnacentral:misc_RNA from 1 species
GAUGAAGAACGCAGCGAAAUGUGAUACGUAAUGUGAAUUGCAGAUCUCUCAGUGAACCAUCGAAUUUUUGAACGCACAUAGCGCCCGCCGGUCAUUCCGGGGGGCAUGCCUGUCCGAGCGUCAUUACAACCCUCAAGCUCAGCUUGGUGUUGGGCCCCGCCGCCCCGGCGGGCCCUAAAGUCAGUGGCGGUGCCGUCCGGCUCCGAGCGUAGUAAUUCUUCUCGCUCUGGAGGUCCGGUCGUGUGCUCGCCAGCAACCCCCAAUUUUUUUCAGGUUGACCUCGGAUCAGGUAGGGAUACCCGCUGAACUUAAGCAUAUCAAUAAGCGGAGGA